CGGCGGCGGCGUUGGCGGCGUCGGAGAAGGCCGACGCGGUAGUAGAUAUCGAAACGAACAACUUUCACGCACUUCCCACUGAGAGGUCACGACUGUCUAUCAACGGCAAGUGCGUGCAGUCAACGCAAAAUUUAUGACCUUGCCAUCUACGGACCACGGAGCACCACAUUUUUCUUCAUCGGCGGAUGACGAUAGCGACGUCGACGAUGGUAGAGCGAGCUGAUGACCGAUAAAAUAUAUGAAUCGAUAACAAAAACGAACAAACUUGAUUCUUCCUCGAUAAGUAUUUACAGCACGUGCUCAAUAUUUGACUGCUUUUGGAGCCGCCGCUUGACAAAUUGCAUCGUUUGGCUUUCAACCGAGCUUCCCACGCCUCGCAUUGUUAUCGAACCACCGUAAAAUUGUCUCAAAAUCCAUUUGAAAGCAGAUAUCAAUGGAAAAAGAAGGUCCACGAUAGUUUCAUACAAAUACGCGAACCGAGAGACAUUUAUCCGAGUGAUGUUCCUUCUCUUAAUUUCUUUAUUUAUCAAUUCAAUAAAAAACUAAAUAACUUUUGUAAUA
rnacentral:lncRNA from 13 species